AGAGGGAUAGCUGGGUCAAAUGGUGGUUCCAUUCCCAGAUUUCCAAGGAAUCUCCAUACUGCUUUUCAUAUUGGCUGCACCAAUUUGCAGUUCCACCAGCAAU
rnacentral:pre_miRNA from 1 species